ACACUUUGCAUUUACUCAGAGUUUCAGUGCGGAAUUGAUGUUGGUGAGCGACGCGUGUGUUAAUAAUUUAGUGCGUCUGCUUUAACGGAUUACAAAUAUACGCGUAUCCAUUCCUUCGGCAAAGUUUCUUUAGUACAUAUUUUGCGGAAUCUGACAGUGAACGGAAGUCGGUCGAAAUGCGUUAUUGUGUGUGAGCGCGGAUGCGGAUGUGAAGAAAGAAGGUUGUAUAGUAAGCAGUAGCAACAACAAUAUCAAAACAGCGGCACAACAAAUAAAGUCGUAAAGUUAAAGGAAAUGAAAGGAAGCUGCUGAGAAAACGACGGUACGGUACGUGUGCUAUUUACUCGCCGCUAUCUACAUAUGUUCGUUCGGUUGGCCGGUCGGUUCGCGUUUCCUCGAAAUUUCUUUUGCUUUUUCGAAUUUGCAUAAAUCAUUGUUUUUGGCUAGCAAAUUGAAAUUGAAUGCCGAAAAAGUGUUAAACAUAUGGGUAAGAAAUAUAUUUGUAAAUACAUACAUGCUCGUAUGUAGGUGUAAAGAUGUGUGUGAAGAUGAAGUAAAGUAGCAAAAGCAAAGCUGUAUAGAAAAAGGGCGAAUUGUUGAAAGGAACCGAGCCGCAGUCGAGUAGCAGCAGCCCGGCUUCUUAGCUCAGCAAAAAUAAAAAGGAAGCGAUAAAGCAAAAAACAAUACAGCAUCACAGGACGCACAGGUAUUAAAAAAAAAAAUUUUAUUAAACAAAUUGGUGAGCAGCAAGCAAUAAAAAAGAUUGACAGAAGAGUGAAAUAGUUUUUCAUCAAUGAAAAUGGAUUAUGAACAGUGGGCCCAGAGCUAAUGUUUCCUUGCGUGUAUGGAAAAAUACGUAAACAAAAAUAGUGAGCAGUCGAGCAUUGAGAAGCAGAUAAGCUUAAAAAAGUGUAAAUAAAAAGCAAUGAAAAUACGCAAAAAUAGUUGAACGAAGUUGAAAAUUGUUUUGUUUUUGCGGAAGUGAGCAGGGUUUAUUGGUAUUUCAGCUAAAAUUCUGCUCUUAAAAAAGCAAAUAUAAUUAAAAGAGUGAUUGAUAAAUGAUAAGAUAAUAAAAUAUUAGUGACAAUACCAGAAUUUUUUAGCGAAUUUAGAUUUGUGCGUGGCAAAAAAAUGAGGAAAAGAAUGUUAUAAAAAAUAAAUAAAAUAAAAAAAAACUGAAAAAUUAAAGCAUAAAAUAUUUUAAUAGUAAAAUUUAUAAAAAUAUGCUUUCUGAGUAAUAACACAAAUAAAAAAAAAAUGAAAAGAAAAUUAUGAAAAACUGCAAUAAAAUCGUGCUCCAAAUCUUCACUUAAAGCGCAUAACAUCCAUUAAAAAAGUGCAAUAAUUGCUCUGUUAAAAAUCAGCAGCAGUUUACAUAACAAAUCGUUACAGCAUUCAACAAUUUAAAUACCCACUUGAGCAGUGCUCAUAAAAUCAAUUAAAUCUGUGCUUAAAAUGCUUGAAGUGAAGUGAUUGAACUCGGCUCUCUGGCGUCUAUUUUUAUAAACAAACAAAUAUCAAUGAAAAUUUGCGUAAAGUUUUGCUCAGCAAAAGCAUCUCCUAUUCACACAUACGCACAUUCAUCAUCAUCAUCAACAACGACGACGACGGCGGCUACAUCAUUUUUCCGCCAAAGAAUUGGAAAAUCCAUAAAAGCGAUACAAACGCACUCAUCAGCGUAAAAUCACCCAACAACUCAUUACAAAAUAGCCACCAACAAAAUCCACCACUCAACUCUUGCAUGGAGAAAAGAACAACAACGUGUAACCACUUUGUCGAAAUCUGAAAUCCAAUAGAAAACAAACUCAAUUCAAAAACCACCAAAUACUCUCCACACAGCAUCCUCAAUUUUCAAUUCUCAAACUUGCUGUACCCUUUGUAGCCCCUCAAUCUACUUUGAAAUGCAAUACAAUACCCUUAAUAUCGUAGCAUCCACACGGCACUCACACUAAAAUCUGCAAGUGAACGUUCGAAGUGAGCAUUGAGAGUGAUUACGCGCUUGUUUCAUGAGUAUUAGUAUGUAUCCUUGCCAAUCCAAUAAGCUUGCAUAAGCCAGUUAUAUUCAAUAGCAAGUGCGCAACGUAAAUAAAGGCGUUAAGGGUUAGCGGUGAACGCGAAGGAGUACGAACAGGUGGCAAGGCAGGCAGGAAGAGCGUGUAUAAGUGGUGUGUGGGGAAGCAAAGAUUGAACAAGUGGAUUGUGGACGGUGAGAGUGAGAGUGAGAGCAAUAAAGAGGUAGAGAGCAAGUGGAGAGUGGCAGGACAAAAAGCAGAGAAGCUGUGAAAGCAAUAACAACAAAAAUAAUAGCUACAAAAUGGGACGUCGUUCUUUUAAUCGCGUUUGCGCCAUAAGUUAUCCAAGUCGCGUCGAGGGUUGGUUGGAUGUUUGUGGUAAGUGUCUUAAUUUUAGAAACUUAAAAUUCGGCAGAGCGACCAGUUCGUGGUUUGAUGAGUUUUAUUUUGAGAGGUACAUAUUUUGAUUUUGUUGUAUUUUUUACCAAUUCAAUAUUACUAAAGUUCAAAGCCUACUGAUCUUAGGUUCCUACUCUGUUCUUUAUAGAACACGCACGUAAACCGCAAAUCGGUGUGUGAUGCAAAAGAGAAAAUAAGUUUGGCAAAAUUUCUUUUUCUCAAGAAUGAUAGAUUACAAGAUAACGCCUAACAAUGAGAGUAAUUCUGGCUGCGAUGUAACAAUAGAUAAAGAAGAAAGGGAACGGAAGCGGUUCGCGAAUGUCAUUACUCUGAGCUAAAGGUGCAGGAUGAUAUGACGUCAUCGGCAUUAACAACCUCGCUAUUAGUUCUGCCUUUUCGAAACUAGAUAAAGAAGCAAAGCGAAUGGCUCUGGUUGUGAGCGAGGACAAAACGAAGUACCUCCUUGUCAUCAAACAUACAGUCGGCGCACUCGAGUAUCUCACCCACGUCCUAAAGUCUUCUCUCGACGAACAAAACUAACACUAUACAAAGCUCUCAUCAGAUGCUUGGACGGUGACAAUACCUGAUGAGGUGUCACGGGAAGUGUUUGAGAGAAAGAUUCGGCGGAAAAUUUUUGGACGUUGGCGACGGCGAAUAUCGCAGGCGAUGGAAGAAUGAGCUGUAUGAGCUUUACGACGACAAAGACAUUGCGCAGCGAAUAAAGAUCCAGGGUAUUUCGUUGGUUUGGUCAUGUCGUCUGAACUGAUACAAAUGCUCUGGCUCUCGAAAUGUUCGAGGUGGCACCGCAUGGUCGAAGCAGAGGAAGAGGAAGGCCUCUCCUGCGUUGGAAAGAUCAGGUGGAGAAGUACUUUGUUUCACUUGGUGUUUGGCCAACUGGCACCGGUUUUCACGAGAAGAAAACGACUGGCGCGCUUUGUUAAACUCGGCCAAAAUCUCG